GUCUCUGUAGCGCAAUGCAUAGCGCGUUGGACUUCUAAACCAAAGAUUGUGGGUUAGAAUCCCAACUGGGAUG
rnacentral:tRNA from 1 species